CUAUCAUCAGUGGACUGAGAUCGGUGACAGCAAACAAGAGGACCCCCUGGCAUACAGCUGUAUGUUUCAGUGAAGGUGGUGGUGCUGAAUGGUGUCUGCCUAAACAAGUACAGGUGUCGGCGAGGCAGUAACUCCUUGGAGGGCUUGCACUCACACCUGUACAAUGCCAUUCCCCCACAGAGAUGUGGAGUUAUGCCAUUCCAAGUGUAUCUGAUUGCAUUUGCUGUGCAGUGGAACAGCCGCAUGGAAUCACUCCGGGUUGCUGGUGGUCAUGGCAGUCAGACGUGGUGUAUGGACCCGCGGCAGAUUCAGCGCCUGAAUCAGCAGGCUGAGGUGCUCUUCGGUAAAGAGCAUGUCCUCGAGCCCAACUUUGCCGCUCCAAUGCCCUACCCUGCUGUAUACAAGGACCCAGAUGAGGAGGAGCUCCUUGGAGUAGAGUAUGCCACGUGCCAGUCAACCAGCUUAACUCCAAGGGAUUGCUAUGCCCACACACUAUGCAUUAUAACAAUAUACAUACAUACUAAGUGGUCAAAUACCUAUAAAUAUCAUGCAUAUUCUAUCCAUGACAAGUAUGUAUGAUAUAGUUCAUUUUUAUUUUACACAUUAUGAAACAAAUGAACUGCAGCAUUGCCAUGUUGUGUUAAUUAGUCUACUGUUAACUGCCUAGACACACUGGUGAUUAGUACAUUACACAUUUGCAGUUGAGGAAGAGCAGUCCCGUGAAGAAGAGGAGACGGCUGAACAAAGUGAGGACGAGCUGGCAGAUGAGGGUGUGGUCGUGGGUGCAGAGUCAGAGCAGGAUCCUAUGGACACUGUCAGUGACAAACAUGUCAUCCUCACUCAAUCAGAACAGGUGGAGGAGGAGGACAGUCCUGCUCUGCAGGAUGUGCUG